rnacentral:rRNA from 1 species
UACAGAGGUCUCAAGCGUUUGUUCGGAUUCAUUGGGCGUAAAGGGUGCGUAGGCGGCGCGGUAAGUCGGGUGUGAAAUCUCGGAGCUUAACUCCGAAACUGCAUUCGAUACUGCCGUGCUUGAGGACUGGAGAGGAGACUGGAAUUUACGGUGUAGCGGUGAAAUGCGUAGAUAUCAGGAGGAACACCGAUGGCGAAGGCAGCUCGCUGGGACGGUACUGACGCUGGAGGCGCGAAAGCGUGGGAGCGAACAGG